GCGGCCUCAGAUCUUGCCAAUUU
rnacentral:miRNA from 1 species